rnacentral:rRNA from 1 species
CGUUGAUUUCACACUGCCGAGAAAAGCCUCUAGAUAGAAAAUAGGUGCCCGUACCGCAAACCGACACAGGUAGUCAAGAUGAGAAUUCUAAGGUGAGCGAGCGAACUCUCGUUAAGGAACUCGGCAAAAUGACCCCGUAACUUCGGGAGAAGGGGUGCUCUUUAGGGUUAACGCCCAGAAGAGCCGCAGUGAAUAGGCCCAAGCGACUGUUUAUCAAAAACACAGGUCUCUGCUAAACCGUAAGGUGAUGUAUAGGGGCUGACGCCUGCCCGGUGCUGGAAGGUUAAGAGGAGUGGUUAGCUUCUGCGAAGCUACGAAUCGAAGCCCCAGUAAACGGCGGCCGUAACUAUAACGGUCCUAAGGUAGCGAAAUUCCUUGUCGGGUAAGUUCCGACCCGCACGAAAGGCGUAACGAUUUGGGCACUGUCUCAACGAGAGACUCGGUGAAAUCAUAGUACCUGUGAAGAUGCAGGUUACCCGCGACAGGACGGAAAG